GACAGAGGUGCCGAGCGUUAGGCGGAAUCACUGGGCUUAAAGCGUCCGCAGGUGGCACUUCAAGGCUGUCGUCAAAGACUGGGGCUUAACCCUGGAAAGGCGGUGGAAACUGAAGCGCUAGAGUGCGGUAGGGGUAGAGGGAAUUCCUGGUGUAGCGGUGAAAUGCGUAGAGAUCAGGAAGAACACCGGUGGCGAAAGCGCUCUGCUGGACCUUAACUGACACUGAGGGACGAAAGCUAGGGGAGCGAAUGGG
rnacentral:rRNA from 1 species